rnacentral:rRNA from 1 species
GACGAACGCUGGCGGCGUGCUUAACACAUGCAAGUCGAACGGUGAAGCUCCAGCUUGCUGGAGUGGAUCAGUGGCGAACGGGUGAGUAACACGUGAGCAACCUGCCCCUGACUCUGGAAUAAGCGCUGGAAACGGCGUCUAAUACUGGAUACGAGAAGGGUCCGCAUGGGCACUUUCUGGAAAGUUUUUCGGUUGGGUAUGGGCUCGCGGCCUUUCAGCUUGUUGGUGAGGUAAUGGCUCACCAAGGCGACGACGGGUAGCCGGCCUGAGAGGGCGACCGGCCACACUGGGACUGAGACACGGCCCAGACUCCUACGGGAGGCAGCAGUGGGGAAUAUUGCACAAUGGGCGGAAGCCUGAUGCAGCGACGCCACGUGGGGGAUGACGGCCUUCGGGUUGUAAACCUCUUUCAGCAGGGAAGAAGCGAAAGUGACGGUACCUGCAGAAGAAGCACCGGCUAACUACGUG